UGAGCCGGCCGGGCGACCGCGUUGCGCCGCCUCGUCGGCGUACCGAGGAAGGUCCGGACUCUGCAGGGCAGGGUGGUGGGUAACUCCCACCCGAGGUGACUCGCGGGACAGUGCCACAGAAAACAGACCGCCAGCGGCUCCAAUCGUGUCGUCAGACCGGUCGGAGUGCGGGCAAGGGUGAAACGGUGGUGUAAGAGACCACCAGCGUCCCAGGAGACUGGGACGGCUAGGUAAACCCCACCCGGAGCAAGGCCAAGAGGACCCGCUGCGCGAGCAGCUGGUCUGCGCGGACGUUCGAGGGCUGCCCGCCCGAGUCCGUGGGUAGGCCGCUGGAGGACGUCGGUGACGGCGUCCGUAGAUGGAUGGUCGCCGGUGCCGGGCCCUCGGGGCCUGGCGUCACAGGAUCCGGCCUACACGCCGGCUCAUCCG
rnacentral:RNase_P_RNA from 1 species